rnacentral:rRNA from 1 species
GAUGAACGCUGGCGGCGUGCCUAAUACAUGCAAGUCGAGCGAACGGACGAGAAGCUUGCUUCUCUGAUGUUAGCGGCGGACGGGUGAGUAACACGUGGAUAACCUACCUAUAAGACUGGGAUAACUUCGGGAAACCGGAGCUAAUACCGGAUAAUAUUUUGAACCGCAUGGUUCAAAAGUGAAAGACGGUCUUGCUGUCACUUAUAGAUGGAUCCGCGCUGCAUUAGCUAGUUGGUAAGGUAACGGCUUACCAAGGCAACGAUGCAUAGCCGACCUGAGAGGGUGAUCGGCCACACGGGAACGGAGACACGGUCCAGACUCCUACGGGAGGCAGCAGUAGGGAAUCUUCCGCAAUGGGCGAAAGCCUGACGGAGCAACGCCGCGUGAGUGAUGAAGGUCUUCGGAUCGUAAAACUCUGUUAUUAGGGAAGAACAUAUGUGUAAGUAACUGUGCACAGCUUGACGGUACCUAAUCAGAAAGCCACGGCUAACUACGUG